CCACCACUCUGAAUGUAUCGCACACGAAGAAUUUGAAUGAUUCGGCGCUGAGGCCGGGUCGUGUUCUUUAAUAAUUAGUGAUGUAGCGAACGUUUGAGAACAAUACUCUCGACGUGUCGUUGUGGCUAAGGCGGGGACUUCGAGUCCCUAAAAUUGAGUCGUUAUAGUUCGCGUCCGGGCUUUGUACCCCUGGACUGGAUAUGACCUUGAGGCAACUUGAGGUUAUAUGGUCAAGCGAAUAAGCGCACACGGUGGAUGCCUUGGCGGUCAGAGGCGAUGAAGGACGUGGCAGCCUGCGAAAAGUGUCGGGGAGCUGGCAACAAGCUUUGAUCCGGCAAUGUCCGAAUGGGGAAACCCACUGCUUCGGCAGUAUCCUGCAGUGAAUUCAUAGCUGCUGGAAGCGAACCCGGUGAACUGAAAUAUCUAAGUAACCGGAGGAAAAGAAAUCAACCGAGAUUCCCUAAGUAGUGACGAGCGAACGGGGACUAGCCCUUAAGCUGGUAUGGUUUUAGAAAAACAACCUGGAAAGGUUGGCCAUAGAAGGUGAUAGCCCUGUAUUUAAAAGGGCCAUACCAGUGAAGACGAGUAGGGCGGGGCACGUGAAACCCUGUCUGAACAUGGGGGGACCAUCCUCCAAGGCUAAAUACUCCUGACCGACCGAUAGUGAACCAGUACC
rnacentral:sRNA from 1 species